rfam:Brachypodium distachyon strain Bd21 chromosome 1, whole genome shotgun sequence.
AAUGUACUUCCUCCGAUCCAUAUUAGUUGUCAAAAUAUUACAUGUAUCUAGAUGUUUUUUAGACAUAGAUACAUCCAUACUUAGACAAAUUUAAAACAAUUAAUAUGAAUCGGAGGGAGUAGCUC